GUCUGAGAGGCCAUUUCCUUACCAUGUGCACAGAGAAACCAAAAGAGCAGCUUUGCAGAGUGAGAUGAAUCACAGACGCUCAGAAGGAGGCAGAGUGAGCUUCACAAGCUCAAGUGGAUUAACUACUUCUGAGCAUUAGAGACUGAGAUGAAUCCUCCAGAAGAAAUCUCCUUGCAGAUGGUCCGGAGCCACACUGAUUAGAAUGCUUACUGUUCCAGCACGAAGACACGUUUAGAGGCCCACCUGUGAAUGACUGCAGGAGGGAAGAAAUGAGCACAUCCUCCCCAGGGACUGACUGGAACCAGUCUUGGUAAGUAGCCAGUUGACUUUAUUCUCCCCCUACCAUU